CAUUGGGGAAGCCGCAAAUAGCAAUAGUUGCAACACCACUCACACCAAUGGCCGCGCCCCAGCACGCUCGCGAAGCCACGCGCCCACCGCGGUUGGAAACCCGCCGCAACAGUACCGCAGCAGCUGUACGUAGGGGAUCUGACACACCACCGAAUGGCCCGCCCCCACCACGCAGGGCCAACGCAGCGCCGCUGGGCAUAGCCCAUCACCGGAUCUGACACCACCUGCCCCGUAUCCAGCGACCACCGAGCUGACACCUCCGACACCACCACGGUUCUGACCAGCUAACCAUCGAGUUGACGCUGCCAACCACCGAGACGCUUGAAGACCCCCGCAACGAAGAAGUCCACGAAGGAGGCCCACCGCUGCCAUCAACCGCAUGGGCUUUGCCCGGCGGCGACUGCUGGCGAUGACCAUCGGCGGUGGAAGAGGGGAGGUGGGUGAAGAAAUUGCGGCGGCUGGUAGGGUUUUUUCGCCACCCGAGUCGCCCCUGGGAUGACGCGGGGGCCAGCACCGGGUACCGUACCAUCAACAAGCGAUCUUUCGUGUCUUCGGUGCAAGCAUAACUCGGCGAGUCACAUAAAGCAGUUGCAUCUUGAUUCUUUGAACGAUUUUGAUAUUUUCUGAAAACAACACUCCCCCCAUUGCAAAUAUAGGGCAUGCACAUUUUUCAACAUGUAACUUUGCCCAACGAUUUAUCCAGCGAAAAGUAUAUUUUUGGUCCCCCCCAAU